rnacentral:rRNA from 1 species
UAGGGAAUCUUCGGCAAUGGACGAAAGUCUGACCGAGCAACGCCGCGUGAGUGAAGAAGGUUUUCGGAUCGUAAAACUCUGUUGUUAGAGAAGAACAAGGAUGAGAGUAACUGUUCAUCCCUUGACGGUAUCUAACCAGAAAGCCACGGCUAACUACGUG